GACGAACGCUGGCGGCGUGCCUAAUACAUGCAAGUAGAACGCACAGUUUAUACCGUAGCUUGCUACACCAUAGACUGUGAGUUGCGAACGGGUGAGUAACGCGUAGGUAACCUGCCUGGUAGCGGGGGAUAACUAUUGGAAACGAUAGCUAAUACCGCAUCAUAUUAAUUAUUGCAUGAUAAUUAAUUGAAAGGUGCAAUUGCACCACUACCAGAUGGACCUGCGUUGUAUUAGCUAGUAGGGGAGGUAACGGCUCACCUAGGCGACGAAACAUAGCCGACCUGAGAGGGGGAGCGGCCACACUGGGACUGAGACACGGCCCAGACUCCUACGGGAGGCAGCAGUAGGGAAUCUUCGGCAAUGGACGAAAGUCUGACCGAGCAACGCCGCGUGAGUGAAGAAGGUUUUCGGAUCGUAAAGCUCUGUUGUAAGGGAAGAACGGGUGUGAGAGUGGAAAGUUCACACUGUGACGGUAUCUUACCAGAAAGGGACGGCUAACUACGUG
rnacentral:rRNA from 1 species